GUGGUCAAGUAAUGAAGCGCAUACGGUGGAUGCCUUGGCAGUAGAAGGCGAUGAAGGACGUAGUAAUCUGCGAUAAGCCUCGGGGAGCUGAUAAACAAGCUUUGAUCCGGGGAUUUCCGAAUGGGGAAACCCUGUGGGGCACCAUGUAAAUGGAGCAAACCCAGGGAACUGAAACAUCUAAGUACCUGGAGGAAUAGAAAUCAACCGAUAUUCCCUGAGUAGCGGCGAGCGAAAAGGGAACAGCCUAUCUAUUAGUGAAUAGUGGAACAGUCUGGAAAGUCUGGCGAUACAGGGUGAUAGUCCCGUACACGAAAUAAACUAAAUGAGAUAUCAAGUAGGGCGAAGCACGUGAAACUUUGUCUGAAGAUGGGGGGACCACCCUCCAAGGCUAAAUACUCUCUACUGACCGAUAGUGAACCAGUACCGUGAGGGAAAGGCGAAAAGAACCCCGUUUAGGGGAGUGAAAUAGAACCUGAAACCGUAUGCGUACAAGCAGUCGGAGCUCUUUAUGAGUGACGGCGUACCUUUUGUAUAAUGGGUCAGCGACUUACUUCUCAGUGGCAAGCUUAACCAAUAGGGGAGGCGUAGGGAAACCGAGUCUGAAUAGGGCGAUAGUCGCUGGGAGUAGACCCGAAACCGGGUGAUCUAGCCAUGAGCAGGUUGAAGGUGCGGUAACACGCACUGGAGGACCGAACCGUGAUCUGUUGAAAAAGAUUCGGAUGACUUGUGGUUAGGGGUGAAAGGCUAAUCAAACCCGGAGAUAGCUGGUUCUCCUCGAAAGCUAUUUAGGUAGCGCCUCGUGUAUUACCUGGGGGGUAGAGCACUGUUUCGGCUAGGGGGUCAUCCCGACUUACCAAACCGAUGCAAACUCCGAAUACCCAGAAGUACAGCACGGGAGACACACGGCGGGUGCUAACGUCCGUCGUGGAAAGGGAAACAACCCAGACCGCCAGCUAAGGUCCCCAAAUCAUAGCUCAGUGGGAAACGAUGUGGGAAGGC
rnacentral:rRNA from 1 species